GGCCCGCACAAGCGGUGGAGCAUGUGGUUUAAUUCGAUGCAACGCGAAGAACCUUACCUACUCUUGACAUCCAGAGAAUUUAGCAGAGAUGCUUUAGUGCCUUCGGGAACUCUGAGACAGGUGCUGCAUGGCUGUCGUCAGCUCGUGUUGUGAAAUGUUGGGUUAAGUCCCGCAACGAGCGCAACCCUUAUCCUUUGUUGCCAGCGAUUCGGUCGGGAACUCAAAGGAGACUGCCGGUGAUAAACCGGAGGAAGGUGGGGAUGACGUCAAGUCAUCAUGGCCCUUACGAGUAGGGCUACACACGUACUACAAUGGCGUAUACAAAGAGAAGCGACCUCGCGAGAGCAAGCGGAACUCAUAAAGUACGUCGUAGUCCGGAUUGGAGUCUGCAACUCGACUCCAUGAAGUCGGAAUCGCUAGCAAUCGUAGAUCAGAAUGCUACGGUGAAUACGUUCCCGGGCCUUGUACACACCGCCCGUCACACCAUGGGAGUGGGUUGCAAAAGAAGUAGGUAGCUUAACCUUCGGGAGGGCGCUUACCACUUUGUGAUUCAUGA
rnacentral:rRNA from 1 species